rnacentral:rRNA from 1 species
GACGAACGCUGGCGGCGUGCUUAACACAUGCAAGUCGAACGGAAAGGCCCUGCUUUUGUUGGGUGCUCGAGUGGCGAACGUGUGAGUAACACGUGAGUAACCUUCCCUUUACUUUGUGAUAACUUCAGGAAACUGGGUCUAAUACCUGAUAGGAUCUCCUGCUGCAUGGUGGUGUUUGGAAAGUUUCGGCGGUUGGGGAUGGACUCGCGGCUUAUCAGCUUGUUGGUGGGGUAGUGGCUUACCAAGGCUUUGACGGGUAGCCGGCAUGAGAGGGUUACCGGCGACAUGGGGACUGAGAUAGGGCACAGAGUGGAACGGGAGGCAGCAGUGGGGAAGAUUGCAGAAUGGGAGGAAGCAUGAUGCAGCAACGCAGCGAGCGGGAUGAAGGCCUACGGGUUGUAAACCGAUUUAGAAUGUGAAGAAGAGUGAGUGACGGUAAUGGGUAAAGAAGCAACGGCUAACUACGUG